CUUGUGGGAUUUCUUAAAAAAAAAAAAAAAUAAUUGGAGCCUUCAUCGCAGAGCACCUGUACUAGCAGGACCAGGUGUGUGUGUGUGGUGUGUGUACACAUUUCUCCAUUUCCUGAGUCAGUUUAUCCUUCGGCCACACUUCCUGCUCUCACCCAGGCUCUCAUUUGCUUUGCUCCUGGUCAUUGUCUGAAUUCAUGCUCUUUCCUCUUCCUUCACUUCUUUAUAGACACCCCUCCCCCACCAAAAAAGAUAAUCACUGUAACUCAAGCCAUCGCAUUCAGGAAGGAAGAAAGAGGCACAGAGAAAACAGAGAAAAAAGGACUAACUCCUGGAAUGAAGGAUGCAAAGUCUUUCUCAAAAAUCCUCCGCUGACACCUGCUUGUGUCCCACUGUCUGGAACUAUGUUACAGAGUCGUUGCUGACUACAAGAGGGGCUCAGAAUCUACAGUCGAGGAAGAAAAAGAAGGGAGUGAAAAUUUGGAAUGGGGAGUUUUGCUGUGGCACAGCAGGUUAAGGAUGGGGUCGAAGCUGUGGCAGAGGUCGAAGGUGAGGCUUGAAUUCACCCUCCAGCCUGGGAGCUUCCAUUUGCUGUGGGUGCUAUCAAAACAAAAACCAAACAAAACCAACAAAAAGCAGUCAGAAUGGUUAUGAAGUUAUCUGCCUUAGAGAGCAGUUCUAAACCACGAGCACAUAGUUUUACCUGUACCAAUUUGGGGGAGAUUGUCUAGCCAUUUCUGUUAUGGGCUUCUAGUUUAAUUUCAUUCUAACCUGAAAGCAUAUUUUGUGUGGUUUAUGUUACUUUUUUUUUGUGAUCCAGAAUGUCAUCUAUCUCGGCGAAUUGCCCAUGUGCACUUGAGAAAAACUGUGUAUUCUCCUGCCUGUGGGUAAAGUUUUCUGUCUAUGUCUGUUAUAUCUGGUUGGUUUAUUUUGUUGUUCAAGUCCUUUGUUGCCUUCCUUACCUGCUGUUCCAUCUGUUAUGAAGAAUAGGGUAUCAAAGUCUCUAGCCGUUGUUGUAUAACUGUCCAUUUUUUCUUUCCAU
ensembl:lncRNA